rnacentral:rRNA from 1 species
CCUACGGGUGGCAGCAGUGAGGAAUAUUGGUCAAUGGCCGAGAGGCUGAACCAGCCAAGUCGCGUGAGGGAUGACGGCCCUACGGGUUGUAAACCUCUUUUGUCGGGGAGCAAAGAGAGUCACGUGUGGCUCAUUGAGAGUACCCGAAGAAAAAGCAUCGGCUAACUCCGGGCCAGCAGCCGCGGUAAUACGGAGGAUGCGAGUGUUAUCCGGAUGUAUUGGGUUUAAAGGGUGAGGAGGAGGAGGUGAAAGUCAGUGGUCAAGUGUCGGGGCUCAACCCCGUACUGCCGUUGAAACUGCAUCCCUUGAGUGCGCGAGAGGUAUGCGGAAUGCGUGGUGUAGCGGUGAAAUGCAUAGAUAUCACGCAGAACUCCGAUUGCGAAGGCAGCAUACCGGCGCGCAACUGACGCUCAUGCACGAAAGCGUGGGUAUCGAACAGGAUUAGAUACCCCUGUAGUC